rnacentral:sRNA from 1 species
GUUGGAAUGAAGUUUUAUGACACUUAACCUGCAUUUUGGAGUGGAUCACAGAUGAGCUUUCUCUUGAAAUGAUAUUGAUACACGAGCCUGUGAAAAGAUCAUUUGACCCCGAGGGAUCCGCCCCGCAGAUUGAGAACCACCAUUUUAGGAGGCCUUUACUGGACUCAAGUCUCCCAGCUACGUGAGUUGUCUGGGCAGAUUCAUCAGAGCAUGUCCAUCUUCCAAAUGUGAUCUUUUUCUGAUGGAGGCCCAAAAGCCCACAGAGAGGGUUCCUGCAUCAUAUCCACAAGCUUCCAGUCACUUGGACAGAAUACCUGAGAUAAUUUACAACUGUGGGGGUCAGUCCUCCCCUUCCACGAAGUUGGUCCCCAGGAUCCAAUUCUGACCAUCAGUCUGACAGCAAGCACCCUUACCACUGAGCCAUCCCACCAGCUCAGUCUACAGUGUUUUCAAGUGCCCUUAGAACCACUACCAAAUCAAACUCUACUAUCCUGGAUUAUAAAGUAAGCCUCGAUUUAUAUUUAAAAUACGUAAUAAAAUAUAUGACCACGCUGCUCAAUAACAGAAAGAUAUCUGGGACUUUCUCCCUC